GAUGAACGCUGGCGGCGUGCCUAAUACAUGCAAGUCGAGCGAAUGGAUUAAGAGCUUGCUCUUAUGAAGUUAGCGGCGGACGGGUGAGUAAAACGUGGGUAACCUGCCCAUAAGACUGGGAUAACUCCGGGAAACCGGGGCUAAUACCGGAUAACAUUUUGAACCGCAUGGUUCGAAAUUGAAAGGCGGCUUCGGCUUGCACUUAUGGAUGGACCCGCGUCGCAUUAGCUAGUUGGUGAGGUAACGGCUUACCAAGGCAACGAUGCGUAGCCGACCUGAGAGGGUGAUCGGCCACACUGGGACUGAGACACGGCCCAGACUCCUACGGGAGGCAGCAGUAGGGAAUCUUCCGCAAUGGACGAAAGUCUGACGGAGCAACGCCGCGUGAGUGAUGAAGGCUUUCGGGUCGUAAAACUCUGUUGUUAGGGAAGAACAAGUGCUAGUUGAAUAAGCUGGCACCUUGACGGUACCUAACCAGAAAGCCACGGCUAACUACGUGCCAGCCGCCGCCGUAA
rnacentral:rRNA from 1 species